rnacentral:rRNA from 1 species
UACGGGGGGGGCAAGCGUUGUUCGGAAUUACUGGGCGUAAAGGGCUCGUAGGUGGCCAACUAAGUCAGACGUGAAAUCCCUCGGCUUAACCGGGGAACUGCGUCUGAUACUGGAUGGCUUGAGUUUGGGAGAGGGACGCGGAAUUCCAGGUGUAGCGGUGAAAUGCGUAGAGAUCCGGAGGAACACCGACGGCGCAGGCAGCGUCCUGGCCGCUUGCUGACACUGAGGCACGAAAGCUGGGGGAGCAAACAGG